rnacentral:rRNA from 1 species
UACGAAGGGGGCUAGCGUUGCUCGGAAUCACUGGGCGUAAAGGGCGCGUAGGCGGCUUUAUAAGUCGGGGGUGAAAGCCUGUGGCUCAACCACAGAAUUGCCUUCGAUACUGGAGAGCUUGAGACCGGAAGAGGUAAGUGGAACUGCGAGUGUAGAGGUGAAAUUCGUAGAUAUUCGCAAGAACACCAGUGGCGAAGGCGGCUCACUGGCCCGAUACUGACGCUGAGGCGCGAAAGCGUGGGGAGCAAACAGG